UGGCGCAGCAGGUCGCGUGUUGUUCCAAAAAAUUAUCUCUUUCCGGGAACCAUUGCUUCCUUUCUAAAGCAACACUUUUUGGCUAUAAUUACCUGAACUUUUCCUCAGGUAAAAAAAAAAAAAAAUUGAGUUGAAGAACAUCUUCUUCUUCUUCUUCUAAGAACUCUAGUGUGAUCUUCAAAUCGUUGAGUGAGUUAGAAGUUCAGAAAAUUUGAGGUACCACUAUUUUCUGAAAUGAAUCAUUUUAUCUUGUGAGGAAAGAUUUCAUUAACUUCGGGUACUUGAGGGAAAUAAAUUUUUUAAGGAUGCACCAUAAAUUCGGUGGACUUGAUUCUAUCACUUAUGUCUUCAUCAUGUUUUCUUUCUUUUGAGUUUGGUUUUAAUGCUUUUCCAAAAAAUAGUAGAAACUUCAUUUUGGUAAUUCAUUUGAACUUGUGGUUGAAGUUGUUGGAACUUCUUUGUAGCUCUUGAACUUAGUGUUGAAGUUCAAAUUGAUAAAUACAAAUUUUAUACUCGAAAAUAACAGCAGGGUAGCUAUAAAAUUGCCUAUAUUAACUUUUAAGAGUGAGCGGGAAAGUUCAUGGGGCCAGGGAGAUAAUAAAGGAGGUAAUGUAGACGUAAAAUUUAUUAGCAUAUAUAAUGGUGGAAUUACGCUUAGACGUUACGGACAUCCACAAUUAAGUAAUAACUUACUGUGUCUUAUAUAACAUAUAUACUAAUUAAUUAUAGUUAAGCAAAACAUAUUUUUGUACAAACAAUGCCCUACUAUAAUAGUAACGUAUUAAUUAACAUUGACCAAAUCAUACUUCAAAAUUUCCGUUCAAUGCCCUAUUAUUUGAUUCGUCUUUGAUAUGUCUUAAACGAAAAUAAGCAAUCCAAAUAUUUGUCUCAAAGGCCUUACAGGUCACCCAUUCAUGUUAACUGGAGUCACAUCUGUAAUUAACUAUUAAGUAACCUAAUGACACAUUUCUUUUCUAUAUAUUUUGUAUGUAAAAGUAAAUUAACUCUACCUGCAUGAGAUAUCUCACAUUGUUGUUUUAAGCUCCGAGAUAGGAUAAGGGUUGUCGAGGGUCAAUCAAAAAAUAAUCUCUCUACAAAACGAAUUCAGAAUUUGAAAUUUAUAUGAGUUUUUAUAAUAAUCUCAAAUUAAUUUACAAUGAUAAUUGGGUAUGAUCAAAUGUUUAUAAAUUUUAAAUACAUAUAUAAGAUACGAACGAAUAAGAUUGCACCGAAUUUAUUGACAUUGUUAUUAUUGGAUAUAUUAGUUAAAAUCCAAUCAAUAUAUAAUGCUCGUUGGUUCUUUUUUCCCAAAACUAAAUUAACAGUAGUUUAUGAAGUAAGACUUUUGUCUCUAAUUUUGAGAAACUGAAGGUGGAGUUAGGCUGACGGAAGCCUUUGAAUAAUGGUAAAAGUAUUUCUGCAUAACACCUACUGGGUUGGUUUGGGUCGGUUAUUGGUAAAAAUCAUAAUCAAAUCAACUUAGUCAGUUUUUAAAUUUCUAAAACCAAAUCAAACCAAACAAAAAUAUAAUCGUCAGUUUGGUUCUUCUUGGUGUAGUUCGGUUUGAUUCGAUUUUUUUGAUUUAUAACUUUAGCUAAUGAUCAAAGUUGAAAUUUUUAAAAAAAAAAAAAAAUCGAAUAUAACAUAUGAGAUGUCAACCGAGUGUUGUAUCUCAACCUUGAAACUGUGAUGUCAACUGAGUUUUAUACUUCAGCAAAGUCAUGAACAACGUCAUAUAAACGCUUUUAAAAAUAUUUUAAAAUUACAUUUAAUAGAAUAAUAUGAUAAACCCCCCAAAAGGUGAAUACAUAAACUUGUUCGGUUCAAAAAGAAAGUUAAAAUUAGUGACUAGCUAUAGUCUAAUGAAUCAAAGCUGUAAAUUUCAAUAUACAACAAGAUAUUAUUUUUACAAUUAGUAUCAUUUGUCAUUCAAAGUGGGAAAUUUAUUUAGAAUCUCAUAAGUUACUGUCAACUGAUUGGAGACAUAUAACUGAAUAUGUUACAACUAAAGUUAAAUCAUGAUUAAAAUAUAAAAUGUAACAAAAAUUUAUAUUGUAUUUAUGAAUAAUAUAUAAAUAAUUAUAAUAUAUAUAUAUAUAUAUAUCAGUUCGAUUUGGUUAUUUUAUCGGUUAUUUUAGAGUAAAAUCAAACCAAACCAAAUUAAUAUCGGUUUUUUAAAAUUCAAAACUAAACCAAACUAAACUUAACCAAAUAUUAAUUUUUUUAAUCGGUUUGAUUUGAAUCGCAAUUCGAUUUGGUUAAAAAUCAAACGUGAACACCCCUAAAAUAGAUCACUCUUUUUCGAAUCAAGCUGAAUAUAAUAUUUCGUGCUUUCUGCUUUUUCUUUUUUAAGAUGAAAUGAGAACAUCAAAACAGGUAACAAGGAGGGUCCACAAUCAAGUAGGCUGUUAAGGCAUUAGCUGAAAUUAACUAUCAUUAAGUUACAAGCUCUUUUUUAACCAAAGAACUGACGUCUAUUGCAAUGAACGUGUUUGUCAAUUGUCAAGAGCAUCGAUUCUCUUUCUUUUAAGUACAUUCAUACGUAUGAUAUUACAUAAUUAAAAAGCCACUGAUCCCACACAAAAUAAACAAUGUCUUUUGCUUUCUUAAUUAUCUUGUCAAUUGCAAUACUUUCUCCGUUUCCAUAAGUGCUGCUUUAGGUUUUUUAUCUUGCUAUUAAAUAAAUGAUGUCUUAGAUGAUCAAAAAUAUACUAAUGAUAUUUUAAAUUUUUUUCUUAACUAAAAAGAGUUUUACAUGUCCAAAAAAUUAUAAAGAUUUACAUCUUUUUUAAGGAAUUUUAUUAAUCAUAUUUUACUUGACGAUUCUUGUAGUUACACAAGAAAUUUGAAAAUACAGUAAAGGGGUUUUGGCAAAUUAAAAAAAUCCAAAGAGAUUGUGAGGUAGAUCAAAGCAUUUGACGGAUGUUUAAUGUGUCAAAAAAAGAGUGGGUUUAAUUAUAUGUAAUAUAACAAUUAAAAAAUGAUGUGACAAGUAUAAUUUUUUGAAAAAAAAGAAAAAUGGGAAUUAAAAAAUUUCAGCAAAGCAAUUAACGACAACAAAAGUAUAUAUGGGCUAAAACUUGACAACAGAAGUAUAUAUAGGCCAAAGCUUAGACAACAAAGUCAUUGAUGAGUUGAACUUAAAACGGAAGAUAUGUUUAGAUGUUUUUACAAAAUUUAGGAGUAUAUUUGAUCCUUUUUCUUAAAUUUAUUAUAUUUACAAAGUAACAUGAUAAAUUUACUCGUAUCUUUACUACUUUUUAAUUUUUAUGUUAAUAAAAAAAUGAAUAAAUAAAGAUGAAUGAUAAGAUUAAAAAAAAAUACUAGCAAGUAGCAGGUAUUAACAGAUCCUUGACUAAUCUUUCAAAGGUUCAAAAGUUACAUGAAGUUUGUUUUUUGUUUCUUCCAGUGGCAAAUGGCAAUGAUACUCUCACCUUUUGGUAAAAGUUAGGGGACACAUUAAGCGAAUUUCUACCACUAAUAUAAUAUAUAAGUGAGGAUGCGUUGCAAAAGCAGCCAACUUGUAGCUGAUAUGCCUGUUUCAGCAGUUUUAAUAGUAAUUUUAUUUUAUUAUUUUUAAUUAAUUAUUAUAAAUUAUUUUUAUAUUAAAAAAUUAAUAAUAUUUAAUUUAAAAAGUAAAAUAGAUAUUUAUGGCGUAUCUGCUUUAGUUAUUUUAAUCGUGAUUUUACUAUAUCAUUCUUAAUUAAUUAUUAUAAGUUAUUUACUUAUUAAAAAAUUAAUAAUACAUAAUUAAAAAAAUUAAAUAGAUAUUUAUAACAUGCUUGCUUCAACUACUUCAACCGUGAUUUCACUAUAUCAUUCCUAAUUAAUUAUUAUAAGUAAUUUACGUAUUAAAAAAUUAAUAAUAUUUAAUUAAAAAAUAUAAUAAAGAUUCAUGAUAUGUCUGCUUCAAUCGUGAUUUUAUUAUAUCAUCCCUAAUUAAUUUUUGUAGAUCAUAUAAGCAUUAAAAAAUUAAUAAUAUUUCAUUAAAAAAAAAAGAAGAUAAAAUAGACACACAAUUCUAAGCUAACUCUUGAUGUUUUAAAUUAAUUUGACAACUUAUAUGUAGUCUACUUAAAAAAAAAAAUUCACAAGUACUUUUUAUAGUAAUUUUAUUAUUUCACUUCUAAUUAGUUAGCUGUUGAUAUUUUAAAUUAACUUAACGACAACUAAUAUGUAAGUGAGGAUAAGCUGCUGAAGCAGGCAGCUUGUAGACGACAUGUCUGCUUCAGCAGCUUCAACAGAGAUUUUACUAUAUCAUUUUUAAUUAUUUAUUAUGAGUCAUUUUUAUAUUUGAAAAUUAAUAAUAUUUAAUUUAAAAAGUAAAGUAGAUAUUUACAAUGUGUCUGCUUCAGCUGUUUCAACCGUUAUUUUAUUAUAUCAUUUUUAAUUAAUUAUUAUAAGCUAUUUACGUAUUAGAAAAUUAAUAAUGCAUAAUUAAAAAAAGUAAAUAGAUAUUUAUGACAUGCUUGCUUUAGCUACUUCAACCAUGAUUUUACUAUAUCAUUCCUAAUUAAUUAUUAUAAGUCAAUUACGUAUUUAAAAAUUAAUAAUAUUUAAUUAAAAAAUAUAAUAAACAUUCAUGACAUGUCUGCUUCAAUUGUUUCAAUCAUGAUUUUAUUAUAUCACCUCUGUCAUGCCCUAUUUUCGCCAAGGUCAAACAAAACAGCACUCGUUGACUCUAAAAUGAAUUGCAAUUUAUGCACAGAGUCGCCAGCUAAUUUUUAAGGUAAAAUAGGAAACCUGUUUAUUUAUUAACACAUAUGAUUGAUGUUUUAGUUUGCGAAAUAACCAAUUGAGAUUUUAGGUAAGAGUUCAAAUUGUCUCGAAGGGAAGGGGUCAGGCACCCUUCGGGAUUGAUACAAAUAUGAUCACGUAGAUAGAUUUUUGAGGGCGUAUGUUAGAUCCGAUGCUCAAUGUGUGCAAUGAAGUGAAAAGGUGCACCUAAAUGGACACUAAAACAGUCCAAUACAUACACUAAAAGGGCCAAAUCAGUCCACUACAUACACUAGAGGGGUGUCCCUUCACUAAGGGGCCUUUUGGUCAUUUUACUUAUUAUUUGUAAUACACUAUAAAUAGAAUAAUGUAAGGUUUCAUUUUCAGAUUUUGAUGAAUAUUAUGAGUGUAUAAUAUUUGAAACAUUUCCUCUCUAAGGAGAGAAGACCACCAACCCGAAACUAGGGUGAUACAAGUGUGGAUUUCACUUGUGUUGCAUUCAAGACUUGAAAACGUAGAUGCUUGGGGAGGUUGACAUCACUCUUGUGUCCACGUAAGAUUGUCGGUGUUGUUAUUACAUGUAUUAAGGGUCUUAGUGUUGGAUCUACACUUAGGUUCUUAGUUAUUGUAGUAAUCUAUGACACACUAUCAACUUUUACCUUUUUUGCAAUUUUGUUAGUGUUUGUAUCUUGUAAUCUUUUGUUCUUGUUGAAUUCAAAUCUUGUGCCUUUGUGUUCAUCUUAUUUUUCACGUUAUUAUAGUGUUAUUGGUUGUUUUGGGUGUUAAAAUACACUCCCAUAUCUUGUAUUCUUGUUGUAGUUGUUGAAUCCGAAAGUGGUCUCUAAAAAGGUCCUCGGAUCUUGUGAUUUGUGGAAUAUUCUGGGGUGUGAUUUUGUGUCCCUCUUGCCAUUCUUGUAUCAGGAAUUCACAAAGAAGGAGGAGGUAAAAAUGAUGAAAAAAGCAUAUGUAUUAAGUAUAAAAUAAUUUCCUUGAAAAAAUAUAAAUGUUUUAAAACUAUGUAAAGGCAUAUGUAUAUUAAAUAUAUAGAUAAAAUAUAUUGUUAUAAAAUAUGUAAAAGACAUGUAUAAAAAUGUAUAAAUACGUGUGAAAAAAAAUUAUAUGAUGUAUGAAAAAAAUGUAGAUGUGUUAUGAAAAGAAAAAAUAUUUAUCAAUAAUAUUUUUUAUUUGAUUAAAAUUACGGAGAAAAGUAAAAAUUAUUUGAGAAAAAAAGACAAAAUAAUAUAUGAAUUACUUGAUUAACUUGAUUUUUUUAUAUAAGUGUAUCACAAUAAUAUAUAUAUUUUGUUGUAAAAAAUAUAAACAAAAGUACAUUAGUAUAUGUGUGUAAAAAAAAAAAAAUUAUUCUAAAGGAAAAAACUACAUAAUAUUUUUUAGCGUAAAAAGUAUAAAAUGUUUGAUUAAAUAAUCUAAGUUAAUCUAAUAUUUUUACUAUAUUAAAUUUGUAUAAAUGCGAGAACAUAAAAAAUAUAAACAAAUAAUUUAAAGUCUUCUUUGACAGUCAUUUUUAAUAAUGAUUCUCAAUAACUUGUUUAAACACUUGUAAUAAAAUGUUAGUAAUAAAUAAAUAAUAAUCAAAAUAAGUUAAAAAACAUGUAUGCAUAUACGUAUUUAAAAAUAUGAUUUUUGUUAAAACGUCGGCUCAGAUAAAAUUUUAAAAUAUUAUAAAAAUUUCGUCAUUGCCCAAAAAUAUUUAUUUUUUAUUAUAUAUUUGUAUUCAUAGUGUCCGCCUUUUAUUUGGAAAGAUCUCAAAAAUUGACUGAGCUUUUUCAUUGGCCAUGUGUUAAUUUUUUAUAUAAAAUAAAUAACAUGAAGAGUAAGGAUCCAUCUUUUUGUAUUAGGAUGGCCUCAAAAAUUUGAGGAAAAGAUAAUUUUACCGACCAAGUAUCGAUCUUGAUAUAAAAUACUAAAUUUAAAAAAAUAAACUUUAUUUUUGUGAUGAAAUGGUCUCAAAUAUUCAAAUGGAGAAAUAAUUUUAUUGGCCAAAUAUCGAUCCUUAAUAUAAAAUAAUAAAUUUAACAAACUAAAGUCCAUCUUUUGAAAUGGAAUGAACCCAAAAAUUCGACAGAAAGAUAAUAUCAUUGACUGUUUGUUGGCCUUUGAUCUAAAUAAUUACUAUUCUAAAAUGUAAAAUCUCGCUUUGUAAUGAAUGACUUCAAGUAUCCAAAUGGAGAGAUAAUUACAUUGACCAAUUGUAUUUAUACAGUAAACUUGAAAAAGUAAAAUCAUGGCUUCAAAUAUCCAAACAAAGAAAUAAUUUCAUUGGCCAAUUAAAUGCUUGAUAUAAAAUAAAUAAACUUGAAAAUGUAAAAGCCGCCUUUAUAAUGGGAUUGUCUUAAAUAUCCAUACCGAAAGAUAAUGUCAUUGACCAAUAUUAGUGUAUUUUAUUGUUAUCAAUUUAACCAACGGAUAAAGCAGUAAAAAGAACAAAAUCAGUCCAAAAAAAGGACAUUAAGGCAACAAGCCAUAUGAACCACAAAACUUAGAGAGCCAUCAGUGAACAAACUAACAAAAGUCCUUUCAAAAUCACGUCUAAGCAAUAAAUGGCAGCAGAACAAGAACAAUCAAUAAUGAUUAUCAACAAAAUUAAAGCAGCAUGUGGGUCACUAGAAAAAAUGUUCAAUAAUGACCCAUUGGUCAUCAAAACAGCGACUAGAUUAGAAACAUAUAGAUACAACAUAUAUAUAUAAACAAAAGCAAAAGGAGGACAUCGAAAAUGAUAUUUUCCGUUCAGAUCUGUUAAAACAGAGCAAAUUGGGUCUUUUAAGAUUUGCUUCCAUGAUGUUACCGGAGCAAUAUUUGAACCGUGAAAAGCACGACCAGAUCUGAUCGCAAAACAGAGAGGAAAAGGAAGCUCACCCACCGGUGAUCAAAUCCGGCGAGGCGCAGCAGUAAAGGGGAGGGGAAGGGAAGGAAGGGCGCCGCUGGUUGUGGGGGCUGGUAGCAGCGGCUUUGGGUGGUGGUGGUGGUCGGAUUUUCCCCGGACAUGGUGGCUUAUGAGGGAGGAGAAGGGGCGGCUGCCUUGGCUAUUGAGGGAAAGUGAGAUAGAGAGAGAGAGAAGGGAGAGAGAAGAGAGAGAAAGGGGAGGCUGUUUUUUUUUUGUGUGGCUUUUGUGUGUAUAUUUACUUAAAUCGUGAUUUUACUAUAUCAUCCCUAAUUAAUUAUAUAAGUUAUUUACGUAUUAAAAAAUUAAUAAUAUAUAAUGAAGAAAGUAAAAUAAAUAUUUAUAAUAUGUCUGCUUCAGUUACUUUAACCGUGA
rnacentral:lncRNA from 1 species